CUUCCUGGGUGUUGCUGAUUACUGGGGUGGAGGAACCGGGCACAGCAUCGAGACCACGUUGUGUUCCUUCAUCUGAAGAAGGGUCAAGAGAAGAUUGCAGUGAAAAUGGGAGAGCAGAGGGAUGGACUUCAGGACCCUCCUGACGGCGUUCCAGGGGACGACUUCACUCCCAGCGGAGAGACUGCAGGCCAGGUCUCAAGGCUCGCUGUGCUCCCGGUGCUGGGGAAAUGUCACUGUGAGAAGAAUAGAAAACUUAUUCCAAAGAGUAUUGAAGACUGACUGAAUCAGGUCUGCAACAUUAGUGAAACG